AACUGUGGCAUUUCUGAAUAG
rnacentral:piRNA from 1 species